AUGCACAUAGUGUGGGAGGCUGACAGAAAAUACCAGAUGUUAACUCUCUCCUCUGUGGAAAUAUUGGCUCUGAGAAACAGACGAAUUACAAUGGAUGAAGAUCAGCACUCAUAUUCUGAAGAAAGUAUCCCACUUUCAUUACUAUCCUGGUUCUGGAAGAAGAAGAGGAAUUUUGCAUCUCCUGCUGCUAAAAGUCAAAGCAGAACAGAUGCAUGGGUACGAACAGUUACCCCUUCAUGCCCUUUUGCUCCUGAAGAUUCAGCAAGAAGUGAUCCUGAACCUAAACCACAGACCACCAUUCACUCAUCUGUUCCUCUACCGGGCAGUGUUAUGGAUUUUUCACGGGAGAUACAAGAACAUCCUUCAUGUGUGAUUAAAAGUGUAAUGCUUGAAGAGACACCUGAGCAGGGUGAACAGCACUUUUAUAAUUUUUAUAAUUUGACAUGCACAUUCUAUAUUAACAUAAUUCACAGAAUAGAAGCUUUUAUAUAUAUAUAUAUAUUUAAUGAUCUACAUAAAAUAUAGUGAUGUGAUUGAUGAGUUUAAGAAUAACUUGAGCUAAAGUACUCUUCUUCUCCCCACAUUUAUACAGCUACAUAUUUUACAAUCUUCAAAACCGGGCUUUGGAAAACAAGACUUUAAUGCUUGUAUGGGAACAGCACCUGGUGAUUCCACCUAGAAGCUGAAUAAACUAUAUUUUAAAACAGUACA
rnacentral:lncRNA from 1 species